rnacentral:snRNA from 1 species
AUACUUACCUGGUGCUGGGGCCUCGUUGAUAAUCGAGGACGAGCCCUCAGCGCGAGUCGCUGGCCUUGCACUGCGCUCGCGUUGACCCCUGUCGCUACCCCAAACUGAGGCAGAUGGGGCAUGCAAUUGC